AUGGCAUGCACAGGAGGAGUUGGGAGAAAGAACAAGCCCUAUCCAAGCCAACCUCAGGCCAAUGUUUCUACUUCAUUUGAUACCAGGACAUUGUCAAGAGCAAUGCCAAUUAAGAGCUCACUUAAGAUCAGUUCACAAAACAAGAAAGAAAGUUAGACCAUGCCGAGCACGAGGAACUCCAUCUUAAAUGGGGAAACAGCUCUCAUGAUAGUAUACAGGCAAGCAAAUUCUUCAAUAAAUCUACAUGUAGAGAAACA
rnacentral:lncRNA from 1 species